GGCGCCUUCGUCUAUCGGUUAGGACGUAAGAUUCUCAUUCUUGAAAGAGGGGUUCGAUUCCCCUAGGCGCUACCA
rnacentral:tRNA from 1 species